UCCUUGUGGUUGUGGGUUGAAAGGUGCCAUUUUCCUCCACAAAAGAACCCACGGAUAUGACCUUUGGAAAAUAGGGACUUUGCUGACGCACUUACAUUACAGAUCUCAAGGGUCUGGGAGAAAUUCUUCACACGAAGGGAUGUUCCUCCUUGAGAUUCUUUUCACUUCGUUCCUCCAGCCAGAAUAAGUCCCAUUUGGGGAUUAGAAAAUCAACAGGUCACAUCUGUUAUGGGAUCCGGUGCUGUCCAGACGGCCUUAUAAAAAUAGUCCAUUGAUUGUGGUCACGACAAUUGUAAAACAUGGGCUAGAUUUAAUACAGAGCUUGGCAGACACUGA